ACAAAAAUAUUAUUAUAUUCGAAAUAAAAACAAAUCGCGUAAAUUUUACGACUUUAAUUACUUUUCGGCAAUGUAAACAUAGUGAGACUUUUGAAACAUUGAAAUGCGGGGGAAACGCGGAUUUCAGUCAGCUAAAGCGAUCCAGCGUUACAUCAAGGUUUUUUGACCCACAGAAGACGAUGGAAAGCUGCCUCACCAAGACACCAGACGCUGGAUCAUCUAUAUUUGCAAUCGCAGACGCAAGACAUGUGUUCAGGUUUUGAACAUGAUGUCUCCAGCAAGGAUAUGUUUGAUGACGGUUACCAUGGAAACGAACUCACGGACCUAUGUCAAAAAUGUCUUUUUCUGAUAAAAUAAAUAUAAUGCUAUCCAUUUCA